AAUCUGGUAUUGAUUGGUGCUNUCCAUCAUGAUUUACAUUUGAGUGAGUGGCGAACUGGUGAGUAACACGUGGGAAACCUGCCCAGAAGCGGGGGAUAACACCUGGAAACAGAUGCUAAUACCUGCAUAACAACUUGGACCUGCAUGGUCCUGAGCUUGAAAGAUGGCUUCGGCUAUCACUUUUGGAUGGUCCCGCUGUGCGUAUUAGCUAGAUGGUGGGGUAACGGCUCACCAUGGCUAAUGAUACGUAUGCCUGACCUGAAGAGGGUAAUCGGCCACAUUGGGACUGAGACACAGGCCCAAACUCCUACNGNGGAGGCAGACAGUAGGGAAUCUUACCACAAUGGACUGAAAGUCUGAUAGAGANGCAACGCCGCGUGAGUCGAAUGA
rnacentral:rRNA from 1 species